GAGACAGCAAAACAGCAAGCAAGGAUGCAGCAGUAGCAGAUGCAGCAAACACCACUCCCUUCUAUCCCUUCCAGCUUUUGCGUGGUGCCAUCCACACCCACGUGGGGCCUUCCCAAGGUGGGCCUACCCAGAACUAUGCCAAAGCAACCCGUGGACUAAUUCAUUAACCACAUAACCUUAAUCUCAGCAUCACAUAGUUUAAUCCCAGCAUCACACAGCCUAGAUCCAGUCACUUCUGAUACUCCCACCUGUGAACCCAAGAGGCUUUCAGAGACAUCUAGACACAAGGUAGCAGGUAUAUGCCUGAAUAUGAGGUACAUGUUCUGUCCUUCCUAGGCAUCAUUCUCAAAAUGCAGCAAAUUCUAAUUAUCUUCUGGAAGACAAGAGCUAAAAGGAGCAGAGAAAGAAGCUGGCUGUGUAUGGACAACCAGACAAUCUAUCCUCAGCCUCAACCAGAGGUACGACCCAAGAGGAAUGUACCACAGGAGUGGGGAAAAAUGCAGUCAGCUGGACGGAGGCAGGAGACCCCAGCCAGCUCUCCACAAGCAACAAUUCUUCUACCCAGAAAACACGAUAACUGCAGGAAGAGAUUCUGGUGUAGUUAAAAAGCCACCACAGUAAAGUAGAAGAAGCAAAAUCUGAAGCAUAACUUAGCUAGCAAAACAGAAACAAGGUCUACAUUUCACUUGCAU
rnacentral:lncRNA from 1 species